GACGAACGCUGGCGGCGUGCUUAACACAUGCAAGUCGAACGCAGUGGCGAACGGGUGAGUAACGCGUAAUCAACCUGCCCUUCACUGGGGGACAACAGUGGCAAACGACUGCUAAUACCGCUUACGGAAGGAGGGGAUUGGGUCUGAUUGGCUAGUUGGAGGGGUAACGGCCAACCAAGGCGAAGAUCAGUAGCCGGUCUGAGAGGAUGAACGGCAACAUUGGGACUGAGACACGGCCCAGACUCCUACGGGAGGCAGCAGUGGGGAAUCUUCGGCAAUGGACGAAAGUCUGACGGAGCAACGCCGCGUGAGUGAUGACGGCCUUCGGGUUGUAAAGCUCUGUUAAUCGGGACGCGGUACCGGAAUAGAAAGCCACGGCUAACUACGUGCCAGCAGCCGCGGUAAUUC
rnacentral:rRNA from 1 species